CAUGCAAGUCGAGCGGAAACGAGUUAACUGACCCUUCGGGUGAUGUUAGCGGCGUCGAGCGGCGGACGGGUGAGUAAUGCCUGGGAAAUUGCCCUGAUGUGGGGGAUAACCAUUGGAAACGAUGGCUAAUACCGCAUAAUGCCUUCGGGCCAAAGAGGGGGACCUUCGGGCCUCUCGCGUCAGGAUAUGCCCAGGUGGGAUUAGCUAGUUGGUGAGGUAAUGGCUCACCAAGGCGACGAUCCCUAGCUGGUCUGAGAGGAUGAUCAGCCACACUGGAACUGAGACACGGUCCAGACUCCUACGGGAGGCAGCAGUGGGGAAUAUUGCACAAUGGGCGCAAGCCUGAUGCAGCCAUGCCGCGUGUGUGAAGAAGGCCUUCGGGUUGUAAAGCACUUUCAGCAGUGAGGAAGGCGGGUACGUUAAUAGCGUAUUCGUUUGACGUUAGCUGCAGAAGAAGCACCGGCUAACUCCGUGCCAGCAGCCGCGGUAAUACGGAGGGUGCGAGCGUUAAUCGGAAUUACUGGGCGUAAAGCGCAUGCAGGUGGUUCGUUAAGUCAGAUGUGAAAGCCCGGGGCUCAACCUCGGAACUGCAUUUGAAAC
rnacentral:rRNA from 1 species